CCUUGGCUCUGCGUGUACUUCAAACUCUCAACAAAAAUGACACAUCAUCAUCCACGUCAGAUUUAAAAUUACACAUCAUUUAUUAUUUUAUUUUUAAAAAAAAAUCAAUUGUGUUUUAUUUAAUAAAAAGUAAAACAAUAAAAUUUUAAUUUAUUCCUUAAGCUAAAAAAGAAACCCAGCAUAUUUCCAAAAUAGAUUAGGCAAUAAGCUCUUCAACUUCUUUUGAACUUUGACAAUGGUGGUGCUUCUAUGGAGGAGAUCAAGCUGCUGGUGCGUUUCUUCCUCGGAGGGUGAGUCCCCAUUCCCAUCUUAAAACAUACAAAAUCUACUAUUUUCCUUUCCUACUCCUUCAACCAUCACAUAACUACUAACCUAAAUCGUCGCCGCCGCCGCUGCAGAUCUAGUCGAAAAUCUCUUCGCUGUCGUAACUAAAUCCUCCAACCCUCACCCGCCUCAUUCUCCACUGACUAGCACUGUCUCUUUCACUCUACUGCGAACUAGUUUUCUCCGACGAGCACCACCAACAUCGACCUCUCCCACUAGCGGUGAUUCAAUGGACUCAAGGAGGUUUCAAUGCCAAGAUCUCUUAAAGAUGAUGACAAUAGUAUGAAAAGAAAAGAAAAAAGAGUUGAGGCAUGUAGAUGGCUGCAAAUGAAGGUGGAGUGUGGUGAAGAAGAUGGAGACUCUUUAAUUAAUUUUUUAAUUUUUGUAUUAUUUUAUUCUUUUAUUAAUAUUUUUAAAACUGAAAUAUAGUACUCACUCGC
rnacentral:lncRNA from 1 species